AUUGAACGCUGGCGGCAUGCCUUACACAUGCAAGUCGAACGGCAGCAUGGGUGCUUGCACCUGAUGGCGAGUGGCGAACGGGUGAGUAAUGCAUCGGAACGUACCCGGAAGUGGGGGAUAACGUAGCGAAAGUUACGCUAAUACCGCAUAUUCUGUGAGCAGGAAAGCGGGGGAUCGCAAGACCUCGCGCUUCCGGAGCGGCCGAUGUCGGAUUAGCUAGUUGGCGGGGUAAAGGCCCACCAAGGCAACGAUCCGUAGCGGGUCUGAGAGGAUGAUCCGCCACACUGGGACUGAGACACGGCCCAGACUCCUACGGGAGGCAGCAGUGGGGAAUUUUGGACAAUGGGCGCAAGCCUGAUCCAGCCAUGCCGCGUGAGUGAAGAA
rnacentral:rRNA from 1 species